rnacentral:rRNA from 1 species
UACGGAGGGGGCUAGCGUUGUUCGGAAUUACUGGGCGUAAAGCGCGCGUAGGCGGACCUGCAAGUCGGGGGUGAAAGCCCGAGGCUCAACCUCGGAACUGCCUUCGAUACUGCGGGUCUCGAGUCCGGGAGAGGUGAGUGGAAUUCCUAGUGUAGAGGUGAAAUCGUAGAUAUUAGGAAGAACACCAGUGGCGAAGGCGGCUCACUGGCUCGGUACUGACGCUGAGGCGCGAAAGCGUGGGGAGCAAACAGGG